UGAGCCCUUCUUCAGGAAUGAGGAAAGUGUGUCCAGCAGGCUAAGAUAAAAGGUAGGGAGGAGGGACUUGGGGGAGCAGCGUUGGAAAUGUGAUAGGUGGAGGGAGG